AUUGAACGCUGGCGGCAGGCCUAACACAUGCAAGUCGAGCGGAUGAGUGGAGCUUGCUCCAUGAUUCAGCGGCGGACGGGUGAGUAAUGCCUAGGAAUCUGCCUGGUAGUGGGGGACAACGUUUCGAAAGGAACGCUAAUACCGCAUACGUCCUACGGGAGAAAGCAGGGGACCUUCGGGCCUUGCGCUAUCAGAUGAGCCUAGGUUGGAUUAGCUAGUUGGUGAGGUAAAGGCUCACCAAGGCGACGAGCCGUAACUGGUCUGAGAGGAUGAUCAGUCACACGGGAACUGAGACACUGUCCAGACUCCUACGGGAGGCAGCAGUGGGGAAUAUUGGACAAUGGGCGAAAGCCUGAUCCAGCCAUGCGGCGUGUGUGAAGAAGGUCUUCGGAUUGUAAAGCACUUUAAGUUGGGAAGAAGGGCAGUAAGUUAAUACCUUGCUGUUUUGACGUUACCGACAGAAUAAGCACCGGCUAACUUCGUGCCAGCAGCCGCCGUAAUAC
rnacentral:rRNA from 1 species